CCUUGUGAAGACGGAGUACCAAAAAGAACUAUUUUCCCCCAAGGUUUGUAAUUUUACAUUUAUGCUCAUAAAUACAUGAAACUACAACAAGAAUGUGUUUGAAUUCUAAGUACCUUUCUGCUCACCAUAGGAAAAAGCAUGGAAACUACAAAAAAAGGGGGAAACAUGUUAACUCUAGUGCUGGAGCAUAAAAAAGGUGACUACAACUAGUUCGGAUUUUUAGAUUUAAUUAAAUUAAAACUUGUUCUAUAUUCUGAUUGCUUCUUCUCACCAUAGAAAAAGCUUCGAGAAUACAAACAAAAAGCGAAAAGGGGGCAACUGAAUCGUUCGAUCCAAGAGGUAUUGUUUAUCUUUUUAGUUGACAUCUUAUGAAUAUUUUUUUUCAAUUGCUAAAAACUAUUGCUGCCUUACAUGCAUAAGUGCAGAUCAAGAACCAGCUCAAAAUAGCCAGAGCCAAUUUCCAUCGAGUUUCCUAUGCCCAACGAUGAAACAAAUGUUCCUGUGAAGGUUAGGGGAAAGAGUAAGAAGGAGUGCACUGAAAAGAUUCCUGUGGUGCCACAAGAUAGCCCAGCAAUGUGCACAAGAAGCAAAACAAUUAACCCUACAAGCCCUUCAAUGAGCACAAGAAGCAAAAGGUGACUUAGUUUAUGCUUCUCAUGUUUUCCUUUAAUGCCAGGGUUACUUUUGGAUGUUCUUUUGUGCUGCUCAUGUGAUGUACUUGUGACCUGACCUCAUGUGUGAAACAUUAUGUGAUGGAGAUCUCUAUGUGAUGCAUGUGAACUAGUACUGAUGUAUGUGGUGAAUGUGAACCUAAAUGUGAUGUAUGUGUGAACAUGUGUGAACCAGGUCCAUGUUGUGAUGCAUAUUGUGUGUAUAUAUGUAUGUAUGUAUAUAUAUAUACUAGUAUGUCUGCACGUGCAAUGCACGUUUUAAC
rnacentral:lncRNA from 1 species